AGUGAACGCUGGCGGCAGGCCUAACACAUGCAAGUCGAACGGCCGCACAGUAAGAUUUCGCUCUUGCGGGUGGCGAGUGGCGGAUGGGUGAGGAAUACAUCGGAUACUUCUUUGUCGGGGGUGAUAACGGAGGAACAGUGAUGCUAAUAGAGCAUAUGUCCUACCGCAUAAAGCAGGCGUGCUUCACGCUCUUGCUGUCAGAUUUAGCCGAAGCCGCACUAGCUAGUGGGCGUGGUAAAGGCUCACCAAGGCGACGAUCCGUAGCUGGUCUGAGAGGAUGAUCGGCCACACUGGAACUGAGACACGGUCCAGACUCCGACGGGAGGCAGCAGUGGGGAAUCUUGCGCAAUGGGCGAAAGCCUGAUCCAGCCACACCGCGUGAGUGAAGAAGGCCUUCGGGUUGUAAAACGCUGUUGUUGGGAAAGAAAAGAAGUAGUUUAAUCGGCGGCUAUCCUGACGGUACCCAAAGAAUAAGCCCCGGCUAACUUCGUG
rnacentral:rRNA from 1 species